AACUAGGGAAAUGUGUUCAAAAAAGCGAAAAAAACAAAAACUGAAUGUACGCAAUCAGAUGCAAUAUUAAUAAAAAGUUUGUUUUGUUAAGAAAACAAACUAAAUAUAUUAAAUGUUAAGGAGACACAUAAAACGUAAAUUGGCCAUAAGCUCCUUAUAAAAAAUGUGCUCCAAUUAUAAAUACUUUAGAAGACAAGAAAUUCAAGCAGAAAUAAAUGAAAAGAAUUUAAUAGCCGCGGGAAAUACGAUACGAAACCGCAGAUGGUCAAGGAUUAACGGUAAUACAAAUAGACACAGCAACGUUGUUAAUAACGCUUUAAAAACUCAUUACAAAAUCAAAAAUGAAUCCUUACAAGCAAGCCAACAUCAUCAAAGCUUUAACCAAACCCGAAGCGCGUCAUUAUCCACGUCAUCAACUAUUCAAUUUAACGACCACAAAUGCAAUAACAGAUUAUUUAAAUGCACAAAAUCUAUUCAAUCAUAUAAGUCAUUGUUGAAGAAAUGGCGUCCUGCUGACAACGCCAUACGACGAAGUGCCAGUAGCAGAAGCUGUCAAACUAAAAAGAGAUCCCUGAUGUACUCAACAAAAACCAUAUCCUCUGUCAACACAAAACACGUUGUAGCAUCAAAUAAAAAGAGGUUUCACAAAUUUAUAUUAAAGCAAUUCCGAAAAAAUUCGUCCAGCGACUUGCAGAUCAGUACCCUACUUUCAAAAGACACUUCUGUUCUACCGACCUCUCUUCGACUAUUUGGACGUUCCAUGUUAGAGUUCUACAGGAGUAGUUCUUUUUUCAUAGUAGCUCUAAUAAUAUGCCUUAUUUUGCACAGCAGCUGCGCUACUACUUCUCAAACCACAUUACCAUCAAAACCAACUUCAUCCGUGAUGCCAUCUGAUACAUUCGUUGUUUCCCAAGUUGCAAAUAGCAGCAGUACGCGUCUUCAAGGAUUAACUUUGGCACUUGGAAUAGCGGAAAACUCGUUUUACACCAACCACACGACUAUUAUACCGUUAGUAAGUACUGGUGAUCAGCUCCACUCAUUGAUACCUAAAGAACUCACUUGGGAAAUUGGUUCUCAAGACAACAAUGAAAACGUCAUAAGUUACAUUAAUCGUCACAAUAUACUGAAUCAUCGCCAACAUGGUCAGCAUCAACAGAUAAGUACGAAGCAAAGAAGAACUGAGAAUGAGUCUAAAAAUAACAUAAAUGAUGAAACAAUAGCUUACAACCAACGCAAAGAAAGCUACAAUAACAGUCCUCAAUCAGACAACUUUACAAGUGCUAGUAGCUGUUAUUCGUGCCAAAUGCGAGAAAGAGCCAAGUUGGACAACUUAGAAUCAAUUAAGCGACACAUUUUGAUGCGUCUGCAUAUGUCACAACUUCCAAACAUAACUGAUCCUCCUGUAGUGCCGCAAAUUAUAUUGGAAAAUUUUUAUAAAAGCUUUCAUACAUCGAAAACAUCCACCCCCACAACGUACAAUAUGCGAUAUCCUGCUCACCAGGAUCACAGCAUAGGUUACAAACCGUCAGCAUCAGUGAAAAGCAAUUACGAUGAAGAUGGAAAUAAUCAUGGUGAAGGCGACGAACCGAUAAACUUUGACAAUAAAAUGCAAGGUGAUAGUCCCCAGCGACUCUAUAAUAUUUUCAAUUAUAACAGUGAAGAAGAAAGUUACGAUGAAUUCUACUCCCAUCUCCACAGUAUCUUCAUUUUCCCCACAAUUACCCGACUCCGUCAUAAUCACAAACCGGAAGUUUUGAACUUUAAUUUACAUUGCGAUGCCUCUAACAUUGGACGUGCCUUCUUGCACGUGUACAUACGAGGCCAUAACUGGAUGCGCGAGCGUCAUCCGGAACUUUUGGAAUACAAACAUUCGGAUGGUAGAACUGAACAACGACGUGAAGUCAUUAUAAGUGUUCAUCGCGCAUUAAGACGUCCAAAUUCCGUCAAUUACACCCACACGGUCAAAUUAAUUGAAGUAAAGUGCAAAAUACCAAUGGGUUUUGGACAAUGGACUGAAAUUGAAAUGAAGCAACUAUCUAUGUAUUGGUCCGCAAAUGGCAACGCUACACAGAGUCUAAUUAUCAAUGGAAAUGAAUCUUGGAUGCGUCCUUUUAUUGUUACUGAUAGUAAGACCAGUAACAGAGCACUGCGGAUUCACAUUGAACUGAUGACCAAGGCGCCAAAACGUAACAAACGCAGCGCCAGUUUGGAUUGCCGUGAAGGGGACAAUGAGGUACGCUGCUGUCGGUAUCCGCUUCGCGUAAACUUCAAAGAGCUCAAUUGGACAUUUAUAAUGGCGCCUGGGUAUUUCGACGCUUACUUUUGUAAUGGUAACUGCAAAGCAGGCUACCUAGAGCAAUACACGCACACACAUUUAACGACUUUGUCCACGUCAGCAACACCGUGCUGUGCUCCCAGCAAAAUGAGUCCGCUACCCUUGUUAUAUUUCACCGCUCACGAAGAGCUUCUAAUGACUGUUAUACCCAAUAUGUCAGUAGACAAGUGUAGUUGCUUUUAAUGGAAAUUUACUCGUGAGAGUAGUAGACAAGAUAGUAAACAAAAGAUUAAAUACAGAAUUUGCGCCAACUUUGCAGAAAAUUUACUAAAUUUACCAAAUUUACCAAAUUUUAAAAGAGAAUAUACUUUUAUAUCCAUCACCAAAAAGGAGCGUCUUCUACGCGUAUCUUUGGGGUGACAAAUAGCGAUUCGUUUCCGCAGUAGGCAUGUCAACUACGCGAAUAUUACAGGAAUGUGGUUACGAUGGAAGGUCUCUCUCGGGAUUUGACCAUAUCAGUGACAUCAAAAUUACCUGCUACUACCCAGAUUUAAACAAAAUCGAUUUACUAACUUGAAGUGACUGUUCCAGUGUAUGAAAAUGAAAAGAAUGUUUCAAGUUUGUGGAAGAAAGCAAAUAUACUCUGUAAU